UAAAUGAUGCUUUUGCCCUUCAUUUUUGUCUCAAUUACAGUUUGGUUUAGCUGGUUACUGUUGUUGUGCGAUGGGUUUUUGUGGUAUUUGGUUUGUUCAGUCUGAUGUAUCAAAAGAGAGAGAGAGUAGAAGACUAGAAGGAUUUAGGGAUAGAGAGAGUUUUAGAUUGUGAAUUUGUGAGAGAAAUAGUGAGAUAGAUAGAGAGAGAUAGAGAGCGAGAUAGAGAGCUUCAGAGUGAGGGUGAUAUUAUACAUAACGAUCUAGGGAUAGAAAGAAAGAGGGAGCUUCAGAGAGUUGCAGGCAGAAAGAGAGAGUGCCAUAGGUUCAGGAAGAAGCACCAGGUCUUUUCUCUAAGUUGCAUCAGAGUGGAUUAGGUCAUGACAAGAGGCAAAGUUGAUUAUGAUGAAGGCAGGAGGCACAUGGAACAAGAUCAAGCAUGUGAAACGAGCUGGUGAAAAUUGGGCUGGUGUGGACUGCUUUAGAAAUAUGAUUAGAUCAAAAGUUGGGUAUGAAAGUGUGGCAUUAGUUAUUAUUCUAUCUGCAAUUGUAGGCACAAAUAAUUUGGAGGUGGGGAAACAGAUUCAUGGUGCUGCUUUGGGGGUUAAAGGUUUCAGCUAAUAAUAACGAUGAUUAUGAUUAGGAUUAGAUGAGUGAACAAUGAAAACAUUAUGCCAUCACAUAUUUUCCUUUCACUUUUAAGGUCAUUUUCUAUGCACCUUCAAUUAAGCUUCACUUGAAUUAUUGUUUACACUUUUAAUGUCAUUUUCUAUACACCUUCAA